rnacentral:rRNA from 1 species
AGUGAACGCUGGCGGUAGGCCUAACACAUGCAAGUCGAACGGCAGCACAGUAAGAGCUUGCUCUUACGGGUGGCGAGUGGCGGACGGGUGAGGAAUACAUCGGAAUCUACUUUUUCGUGGGGGAUAACGUAGGGAAACUUACGCUAAUACCGCAUACGACCUACGGGUGAAAGCAGGGGAUCUUCGGACCUUGCGCGAUUGAAUGAGCCGAUGUCGGAUUAGCUAGUUGGCGGGGUAAAGGCCCACCAAGGCGACGAUCCGUAGCUGGUCUGAGAGGAUGAUCAGGCACACUGGAACUGGGGCACGGUCCAGACUCCUAAGGGGGGCAGCAGUGGGGAAUAUUGGACAAAGGGGGGAAACCUGGUCCAGGCAAACCGCGGGGGUGAAGAAGGCCUUCGGGGUGUAAAACCCUUUUGUUGGGGAAAAAAAGCAGCAAGUUAAAACCCCGCUGUUCUGACGGUACCCAAAGAAUAAGCAACGGCUAACUUCGUG